UGGAAAAUUAAGUAAAUUUAAUGAUUAAAUAGUCAAUCACAAGUUUAAGUAUAGUACAAGUUUUACUGUAUGAGCACUGUUAACAGUCUUGUUUAUAUCUUUGUGUUCCUCAUUACUAGCCAAGAUUUUUCAAGUCUUGGGCAAAAUUGUUUGAAGUGGUUCUCCAGCUGAGUUACCCAAACACUUUCCACCCCCUUCAUUUCUGUCCCCAAGCUGCUGAAAAGGAGGGAAACACAGCAGAUGCCAUUUACCAGAACAGUUACUAGCAGAGCUGGCUAACAGCAUUAGCUAAGCAGUCAUGUACCAAUGGUCCUGGAAGUGGUGCUGUAAACCCCAAGCUACUGUAAGCUUGUAAGAUGUUGUUUUGUAAUACUAAUUUGAAGUCGAACCUGUGUUUAGUAGGUAUAAUGUAGACAUCUUAAACAGGUCUGACUAAGGGUGUAGCAAGGCUACGUGAUUACCUUGUUGAAGCUGAAGCUGAGCACAUUUCCUGAAGUGCUGACACUCUCAGCCUCCAGUUCCAGCAGCCCGGACAAUUUUUUUCUCUACAGGAUCUCUUGUAUAGGAUCUUUUGCCACAUGAACUGGCAACACACUGAUAUCCUGCAAUCUAAAAGGGAAGCUAUGGCAGAAUUAGCAAGCUAAAUACAUGGCUAUCACUUCCCCCUUCUCGUCAGGUGAACUUAGCAAACCCUGAAGAAUGUUAAUAUAAAUGCUAAUGCUUAAAAAGGCAAAGUGUGUUACCAGAUAUAUUGGAACUCACACAUUACUUCAGAUUCUUCUUGAGAACUGAUUUAAGAAUAUGCCUAGUGACAAUUAUUGCAUUUUUCUCUUUGGCUUUCAAAUCUAUAUCAUCUAGUUUAUCCUCAGCAGACUGCCUCAGCAGCAGACAUGCUGUUUUGGGGAAAUACGUGAUUCCUUUUCAGCAGGUACAAUUAAAGAUCUAGGUUUCUAAACCUGCAACUCAACUGGUAACUUCUGACCUUGAGGGCUACCAUGGUUCUGACUAUAACCCUGUGG
rnacentral:lncRNA from 1 species